rnacentral:lncRNA from 1 species
CCUCUUCUGAGUGUUUACAUCAUCAAAAUCUACUUUACGUUUGUUACCUUCUCCUCCAUCAAUCCUCUUCUCAUCUUCAAUUCCCACAGAUCUGUUACUGGAUCCAACCCAGAGACCUCUAGCAUUCAGACUUAUGGAUGAUGCAUCACGAUCAGCAUUUCUACUUGUGAGGUCGUGGAAGUUCUCUUGUGGUUUCGACGAAUCACCCCUAUGAGAAUGAGAUCCACUGCCUGGAUCUUGAUUCAGAGGGCUGGCACCAAGAAGAACUUUAAAAUCUUCUUUCGAUUUGUCUGCUUUCUCAACUUCUGUCCCAAUAUCCAAUGAGCUUCCAAUUUUUCC